AAAGAUGAAUAACACGGUAUAAUAAGCAAUGGCAUUGUGCAAGCAUCGACAGCAAUACAAAUAGGAGUAGCAUCUCAAUCCUUUGCUAUCUCUCUAAAGCUCUCUACUACUCUCUUUUAUUCCUCUCCCAAGACCACACACGGCAGCAACAGCACGCUCAAUCUCUCUUCUUCCUCCCAAAAUCAGCAGCCAAUCUCUCUUCUUCCUCUCAAAUCGAACAUCAAUAGCCCAGGCACCGCCGACCACCACACCUAUCACCUUCCGCAACCGCCUGGUCGUAACUGCUGCUGCUAGCGGGCGUGUGUAGGAGGAAAUCAGGCUGCCCCAGCCAUAAGUUGAAUUGCCCGUUUAUUACUGAACCAGAAAAUUACAUAUUUUAUAUUUGAUCAGCAACCUGCUUGGAUCAUCAAGAAAAUAGCUUAGCUUGCCCAGAAGACAUGUAAAUUGCUAGACGUGUUCAAAUUAUUAUCUACAUGAAUCUAGACGUGUUGUUGAGGAAUAUAUGAAAAUGGUACAUAGUAAAAGUCAUAAUUCUGUCCCAAUUAUCAACUUUUUGUACUUCACAUACAAAUUUAAUUGAUAAGAAAUAAACUAAUCAAGGCAGCCAAUUUUUUUACCGAAAAGUCUGUCGGUUAAUGUUCUCUUCAUCCACCAUGACCUACUCUGUUUUCCUGCAAAAUCCACAACAACUAAACUAAUCUUUGUUUCUAUGAUGCAUGACAUUGAAUAGAUAGCACAAAUGGUCAACCGAAUAGUCAUCUCACGAUCCAAGUGGCCAAGCCCUUCUUCCAUCUCCUCCCGCCCGGUUAAUCACAUGCAAGAU
rnacentral:lncRNA from 1 species